rnacentral:rRNA from 1 species
UACGUAGGGUGCAAGCGUUGUCCGGAUUUAUUGGGCGUAAAGAGCUCGUAGGCGGUCUGUCGCGUCGGAUGUGAAAACCCAGGGCUCAACCCUGGGCCUGCAUUCGAUACGGGCAGACUAGAGUAUGGCAGGGGAGACUGGAAUUCCUGGUGUAGCGGUGAAAUGCGCAGAUAUCAGGAGGAACACCGGUGGCGAAGGCGGGUCUCUGGGCCGAUACUGACACUGAGGAGCGAAAGCGUGGGGAGCGAACAGG